CCCAUCUUACAUUUACAUUUAUGCAUUUGGCAGACGGUUUUAUCCAAAGCGACUUACAGAGCCCUUAUUACAGGGACAAUCCCCUCGGAGCAACCUGGAGUUAAGUGCCUUGCUCAAGGACACAAUGAUGGUGGCUGUGGGGCUCGAACCAGCAUCCUUCUGAUUACCAGAUUACCAGCCCUGUCUGGCGGUCCGAAGAAGUUGUACUCGGAACCGUCAUAUCCUGCCGGAGAUAGGAGGCAGGGGCGAGGAGCCUACCCCCAUGCAGGGAAGUCCUCCAUCAUCUGGAAUGGGAUCCUCGAAUAUAACCUUCUGCAUGGCUUUAACCUCAGCAUGGGAAUUCUUUACAGAAAUUCCAUUUUCUCUUUUCCCAAAGUAUUGUUUUUGAUGUCCUCAAAACCAUCUCUCCACUCACGCCAUCCAGCCUUAAUGUCCUGGAGG